UGGGGAAUAUUGCACAAUGGGCGCAAGCCUGAUGCAGCCAUGCCGCGUGUGUGAAGAAGGCCUUCGGGUUGUAAAGCACUUUCAGCGGGGAGGAAGGCGUUAAGGUUAAUAACCUUGGCGAUUGACGUUACCCGCAGAAGAAGCACCGGCUAACUCCGUGCCAGCAGCCGCGGUAAUACGGAGGGUGCAAGCGUUAAUCGGAAUUACUGGGCGUAAAGCGCACGCAGGCGGUCUGUCAAGUCGGAUGUGAAAUCCCCGGGCUCAACCUGGGAACUGCAUUCGAAACUGGCAGGCUAGAGUCUUGUAGAGGGGGGUAGAAUUCCAGGUGUAGCGGUGAAAUGCGUAGUGAUCUGGAGGAAUACCGGUGGCGAAGGCGGCCCCCUGGACAAAGACUGACGCUCAGGUGCGAAAGCGUGGGGAGCAAACAGG
rnacentral:rRNA from 1 species